rnacentral:rRNA from 1 species
GCAGAGCAUCCUACGGGAGGCAGCAGUGGGGAAUAUUGCACAAUGGGCGCAAGCCUGAUGCAGCCAUGCCGCGUGUAUGAAGAAGGCCUUCGGGUUGUAAAGUACUUUCAGCAGUGAGGAAGGUGGGUAUGUUAAUAGCAUAUUCAUUUGACGUUAGCUGCAGAAGAAGCACCGGCUAACUCCGUGCCAGCAGCCGCGGUAAUACGGAGGGUGCGAGCGUUAAUCGGAAUUACUGGGCGUAAAGCGCAUGCAGGUGGUUUAUUAAGUCAGAUGUGAAAGCCCGGGGCUCAACCUCGGAAUUGCAUUUGAAACUGGCAAACUAGAGUACUGUAGAGGGGGUAGAAUUUCAGGUGUAGCGGUGAAAUGCGUAGAGAUCUGAAGGAAUACCGGUGGCGAAGGCGGCCCCCUGGACAGAUACUGACACUCAGAUGCGAAAGCGUGGGGAGCAAACAGGAUUAGAUACCCUGGUAG